CAGCAGCCGCGGUAAUACAGAGGGUGCGAGCGUUAAUCGGAUUUACUGGGCGUAAAGCGUGCGUAGGCGGCUAAUUGAGUCGGAUGUGAAAUCCCUGAGCUUAACUUAGGAAUUGCAUUCGAUACUGGGAAGCUAGAGUAUGGGAGAGGAUGGUAGAAUUCCAGGUGUAGCGGUGAAAUGCGUAGAGAUCUGGAGGAAUACCGAUGGCGAAGGCAGCCAUCUGGCCUAAUACUGACGCUGAGGUACGAAAGCAUGGGGAGCAAACAGGAUUAGAUACCCGUGUAGUCCCUGUCUCUUAUAC
rnacentral:rRNA from 1 species